rnacentral:lncRNA from 1 species
UCAUUGGCCCAUGUGUGUGUUGAUCUUCAUAGCUGUUAGAAAUGCUCAGGAUUCACCGAAGUGUUUUCUUAUAAACUCAGAGACACUGGAGCUUCAUUUUCUGGAACCAUGGACUGGAUGACAGCCAAAUCAAAUGCACCCCGAUGGAGAAGGCUCGGAGACAUGAGCUCUCAACUCAGGUUUCCGGUGGCCGAGCAUUCAACCCGCAGGCUGGAAGCUGAGCACCCCUUUCCUAGCAAAGGAGAAUUGCUUCCUGUGCUGCACUUGGGAUCUGCCAGCUGAGCUGUGGAGAGAACAGACA